rnacentral:rRNA from 1 species
UCUGCCUUGUACUGGGGGAUAGCCUUUAGAAAUGAAGAUUAACACCCCAUAAUAUAUUUAGGCCGCAUGUUUUUAUAUUAAAGGUUACGGUACAAGAUGAGUAUGCGUCCUAUUAGCUAGUUGGUAUGGUAACGGCAUACCAAGGCAACGAUAGGUAGGGGCCCUGAGAGGGGGAUCCCCCACACUGGUACUGAGACACGGACCAGACUCCUACGGGAGGCAGCAGUGAGGAAUAUUGGACAAUGGGGGGAACCCUGAUCCAGCCAUGCCGCGUGCAGGAAGACUGCCCUAUGGUUGUAAACUGCUUUUGUACGGGAAGAAACCGCUCUACGCGUAGAGCCUUGACGGUACCGUAAGAAUAAGCAUCGGCUAACUCCGUGCCAGCAGCCGCGGUAAUACGGAGGAUGCAAGCGUUAUCCGGAAUCAUUGGGUUUAAAGGGUCCGUAGUGGGCCGGUCAGUCAGAGGUGAAAUCCUGCAGCUCAACUGUAGAACUGCCUUUGAUACUGCCGGUCUUGAAUCGUUGUGAAGUGGUUAGAAUAUGUAGUGUAGCGGUGAAAUGCAUAGAUAUUACAUAGAAUACCGAUUGCGAAGCAGAUCACUAACAGCGUAUUGACACUGAUGGACGAAAGCGUAGGUAGCGAACGGGAUUAGAUACCCCGGUAGUCUACGCCGUAAACGAUGGAUACUAGCUGUCCGGCUUCGGCUGGGUGGCUAAGCGAAAGUGAUAAGUAUCCCACCUGGGGAGUACGUUCGCAAGAAUGAAACUCAAAGGAAUUGACGGGGGCCCGCACAAGCGUGGAGCAUGUGGUUUAAUUCGAUGAUA